AUUCCCUCCCAGCCAGCAGGGAACUUCUGGAACUUCUAAACAGCACAUCCUCGAGCCAGCCCAGGCCCCCACAGCAUCCUGCACCCCAGGUUUACAAGCUUUUUAAUGGUAAGUAACACAUUUGGCAAACCUCCUCAAGUGUGAGCCAAGCCAGGCCUUUUUCCCCAAGUCCCAAGUAACAAAGGGAUGCUGGGCUGGGCCAAAAACAGGAUCUAUCUAGCCAGAUGAGCCUAGAGCCUUGGUUCUCGGGGCCAAGGCUGGACAGGACCAGAGGGAAAUGUCCUCGGCCAGCCUCACUCUGGUCUCCGUCACCAUGCAGGCUGGUCCAGAGAUUUCAGGAUGCAUCACUGAUUCCAGGCAGGGCUCCAUCCCCGGCCCACACUCAGCCCAGGACCUGGCCAGAGAAUCACCAAGCAUUCCCGGCAACACGAUGCACGGCCCAUUUUCCAUGCCAGGCUCUUCCAGGGUCUCUGGGUGGGAGCAGCCCGGCCUUCUCACUGGGUUCCUGCUAUGUCUGGGGGGUACAAAAAGCUUAUGUUGGCCAGGCGCAGUGGCUCAUGCCUGUAAUGCCAGCACUUUGGGAAGCCAAGGCAGGCAGAUCAAUUGAGGACAGGAGUUCAAGACCAGCAUGGCCAACAUGGUGAAAUCCUGUCUCUACUGAAAAUACAAAAAUUAGCCAGGCAUGGUGGCACAUCCUAUAGUCCCAGCUACUCAGGAGGCUGAAGCAGGAGAAUCACUUGAACCUGGGAGGCAGAGGUUGCAGUGAGCCAAGAUUGCGCCCCUGCACUCCAGCCUGGGCGACAGAGCGAAAACCUGUCUUAAAAAUAAAUGAAUAAAUAAAUAAAGGUAUAUGUCUCCA
ensembl:lncRNA novel transcript